rnacentral:lncRNA from 1 species
UAGUACUAUAAAUAGAGGAUGAGAGUCAGGGUUUUAUUCAUUCAAUCAUCUACUACAUUCUCUCAUCUACAACAUUGGAGGAUUGAAGACAUGAGCUAAGUUCUUUUUAUUCAGUUCUAAGGGAUGUUGAACCUUAUUUAUAAUUAAUGGUUAAUUGAGUAUUCAUUAUUUAUUCCUUCUCACAUGAAAUUCAUUCUUGAUAAUCUGAUUUAAUUUCUGAAUGCUAUUUGGCUUAACUGAUUUG